rnacentral:rRNA from 1 species
AGAACGAACGCUGGCGGCAUGCCUAACACAUGCAAGUCGAACGAGAUCCUUCGGGGUCUAGUGGCGCACGGGUGCGUAACGCGUGGGAAUCUGCCCUUAGGUACGGAAUAACUCAGGGAAACUUGUGCUAAUACCGUAUGAUGUCUUCGGACCAAAGAUUUAUCGCCUAGGGAUGAGCCCGCGUAGGAUUAGCUAGUUGGUGGGGUAAAGGCCUACCAAGGCUACGAUCCUUAGCUGGUCUGAGAGGAUGAUCAGCCACACUGGGACUGAGACACGGCCCAGACUCCUACGGGAGGCAGCAGUGGGGAAUAUUGGACAAUGGGCGAAAGCCUGAUCCAGCAAUGCCGCGUGAGUGAAGAAGGCCUUCGGGUUGUAAAGCUCUUUUACCCGGGAAGAUAAUGACUGUACGGGAGAAUAAGCCCCGGCUAACUCCGCGCCAGCAGCCGC